GAUGAAGAACGCAGCGAAAUGCGAUACGUAAUGUGAAUUGCAGAUUUCAGUGAAUCAUCGAAUCUUUGAACGCACAUUGCGCCCGCUAGUAUUCUGGCGGGCAUGCCUGUUCGAGCGUCAUUUCAACCAUCAAGCCCUAGGCUUGCGUUGGAGCCCUGCGGCUGCCGCAGGCUCCCAAAUCCAGUGGCGGGCUCGUCGUCGUACCGAGUGCAGUAAACAUCCUCGCUCAGGGAACGUGACGGGUUCUUGCCGUGAAACCCCCCACAUAUCAAGGUUGACCACGGAUCAGGUAGGAAUACCCGCUGAACUUAAGCAUAUCAAUAAGCGGAGGA
rnacentral:misc_RNA from 1 species